rnacentral:rRNA from 1 species
CAGUCGCCACGGGAAUACGAAGGGUGCAAGCGUUAAUCGGAAUUACUGGGCGUAAAGCGCGCGUAGGUGGUUUGGUAAGAUGGAUGUGAAAUCCCCGGGCUCAACCUGGGAACUGCAUCCAUAACUGCCUGACUAGAGUACGGUAGAGGGUGGUGGAAUUUCCUGUGUAGCGGUGAAAUGCGUAGAUAUAGGAAGGAACACCAGUGGCGAAGGCGACCACCUGGACUGAUACUGACACUGAGGUGCGAAAGCGUGGGGAGCAAACAGGAUUAGAUACCCCAGUAGUCCCUGUCUCUUAUAA